GGGGUUGUGGCUCAGUGGUUAGAGCGCUUGCCUAGCAUGCAUGAGGCAUUGGGUUCGAUUCUCAGCACCA
rnacentral:tRNA from 1 species